rnacentral:rRNA from 1 species
UAAAAUUAUUUUAAAUAAUAUAUUAGAAAUGAAAUGUUAUUCGUUUUUAAAGGUAUCUAGUUCUUUAAGAAAUAAAUUUAAUUUAGAAAUUUUAUAUUAUUUAAUUUAAUAUAUUAAUUAAAUAAUUAUUUAAUUUUAAUAUUUUAUGGGAUAAGCUAUAAAAUAAAUUUUUAAAAAUUAUUAAUUAAAUUAAUAAAUAUAAGCUUAGAAAUAGUUAUUAUUAAUAAAAAUGUUAUAAUUUAUUUUUUUAAUUAUAUUAUUUAUUUAUAUUUUAAAUUUUUUAUUAAAGUAUUUAUUUUAAUUUAAAAAAUAAAAUAAUAAUGAUAAAAUUAGUAUAUUAUUAUUGUAUAUAUAAAUUUAAAUGAUAAGUUUUUAUAAAGAACUCGGCAAAAAUAAUAUUCGCCUGUUUAACAAAAACAUGUCUUUAUGAAUUUUUUUUAAAGUCUAACCUGCCCACUGAAAUAAAUUUAAAUGGCCGCAGUAUUUUGACUGUGCAAAGGUAGCAUAAUAAUUAGUCUUUUAAUUGAAGGCUGGAAUGAAUGGUUGGACGAGAUAUUAACUGUUUCAUAAAAAUUUUUAUUAGAAUUUUAUUUUUUAGUUAAAAAGCUAAAAUUUAUUUAAAAGACGAGAAGACCCUAUAAAUCUUUAUAUUUAAAUUAUUACAAUUUUUUAGAAAUAUUUUGUUUUAAUAAUUAAUAAUAUUUUAUUGGGGUGAUAUUGAAAUUUAAUAAACUUUUAAUUUAUUUUAUCAUUAAUUUAUGAAUAAAUGAUCCGUUAUUAACGAUUAAAAAAAUAAGUUACUUUAGGGAUAACAGCGUAAUUUUUUUGGAGAGUUCAUAUCGAUAAAAAAGAUUGCGACCUCGAUGUUGGAUUAAGAUAUAAUUUUAGGUGUAGUUGCUUAAAUUUUAAGUCUGU